AUAUGUUAUGCAGCUCAAGUAGGUGAUUUCAGAUCUUCCUUGUGAGGUACUUCAAAAAGAUGCCAAUGAUGCACAAUGAGGAGAUGCUUGGGCCUUGUGGCGUGCCUACGGCAGCAGUUCCCCUGGCAGUGCGGUGUUUUCAGCUGGAUUAGGGCGACCUUGCUAGCAAACUCGCCAUCUCUUUCCCUAGGCCAUUUUUUUAUGGAUAUAUGGACUACAAUAGGUAGUGUUUCUCUGCUCGGGUGUCAUUGUCAUCGACGGGCCUCUCAACUGUCUCGAGAUCCAGACUCAUCCAACUCGCCGCCGUUUUUAUGGGACAUAAGAGAAUAUAUGAGAAGCUAGAAGAGAAUGGUACUGCAUAUUGGGUGAAGAAGACUGCAUAUGCCUACACUGGUUGAAUGUAGUGUUUAUCAAUCAUCCAUUUUUUUUUUGAAGUGCAACCCACAUGCUCUGGCCUGUAGCAAGAAUAUAUAUGUAUAUAUGGAGGUAGGCUAAGAUUCAGAUAUUGCUGCCUUUUGCACUGCUCUUGUCUGUGGCAGGAAUAUAUAUGGAGCUAGGCCAAGAUUCAGAUAUUGAUGUCCAGGUAUUGUAGAGUUUUUGGCGCUAGAAGCAUUCAUGUUCGAUUUUCAGUUGAAUUGUUCAUGCCACCAUUUUUUACUGCCUUUGUAGCUGAACGAUUACUUAGACCGUUUGGACUAAAUUCCGAAUAUGUAGCAUUUGUUCUGUCUGGAGAAAUGACAUAUUUAUUAAUUGGAACCUUGAGUUAGGAGAUUUCUAGGGAGCAAAAACUGAAGUGUUUUCAGUGAUAUCACUGAUCUGCAAAGAGCGUGCCAACUCUACGGUAGUUGGCUGUUUCUGCCCCUAAAGGAGUAUUGUAUAAUAAGCAAACUUACACGUGGUUGUUGCUCCUGUCGAUAAACAAAUGGAUAGUUUUUAUUUGGGCAUAAGUCAAUUACCAAAUGGGAAGUACAUGCAGUAUUUGGUACAUUAAUAUUAUCUGUUGUUCAUGUAUGUUUGAUUGAAGCUACUGAAGUUGCUUCAUGGUUUAUGGAUAAAUAAUUAUAAA